GUCAACUAUCCUUGCGAAGCAUCCUCAGACGAGCCUCCCUCCCCGAGAGGCCCAUUGGAUUCUGGGGGUUGUGGUUAACGCUUCAAGAGAGCGCUUACUGUGACUGGAGCUCGAAAUCGGAACCUUUAGAACCCAAAUCACCCAAUCCUCAGCGUAUAUCUCAGUGACGUCUCCGGUAGCCAGGAGAAAAUAAUGGGAGUGGAAGAUGAGACAGAUCAGAAAUUGGUACCUAGCACCGCUGACUCUCACCAAGCAUCCAGACCCACUGCUCUUUGUCAGUUUCCCAUGGCCCCGUGCACCUACCUUGGAAUAGAAGUAUCGGCACACAGCCUCCUGAGCCCAAGGCUGGAAGUAGAACUCAGCUCGGCGCUCUUCCUCUGGGUUACCCACCACAUCGGUCAUGGUCUAAGGGAGAAGUAUGGAAGAAAAUGGGAAAAAAAUUUGUUUCCUGCCUUUUCAUCUGUUACUGGUCAAAUUUUAUCACCCUCAAAGAUGUAGAAAUUUGGGGCUGGGGAUUUAGCUCAGUGGCAUAAGCACCUGCCUGGCAAGCAGGUGGUCAUGAGUUCGAUCCCCAGUACUCAUAAAAAAGAAAAAAAAAGGGGGGCUGGGGAUUUAGCUCAGCAGCAUAAGCGCCUGCCUUGCAAACAGGCAGUCGUGAGUUCGAUCCCUGGUACCGGUAAAAAGGAAAAAGACAAAAAAGAAAAAAAAGAAAAAAAAAAAAAAAAAAAAGAUGUGGAAAUGUGAAUCCCUUAGUAUGAGUGAAUGUGAUCUCAUUUGGAACACGGUUUCUGUAGCAAUCAAGAUGAAGCCAUUAGGGAAGACCCUAAUCUAAUGUCUGGGAUCCACAAAGAGGCAGUGUGGACACAGAGGCAGGUGCACAAAGAGGACAGUUAAGAAGACACGUGGAGAAUGUCAUCCAUACAUUAAGGAGUGCCCAAGACUACCAGAAGCCUGCAACAAAUUCUCCCUUACCAUCUCCUAAGGAACCAAGCUAGCUGCCAACUUCAUUUCAGACCUGUAGCCUGCACCACUGUGAGACAAAAUCCUGUACUUCAAGCCAUGCAGCUGAUGCUAGCCUGCUGCAGGAGCCCCAGCAAACUAAAGCAGUGCCCAACCACUUCCUGCUAUUCACAAGUCACUGCCUGAUUUGGGGGCCUUGUAGCACUCCUUGUCUCUUGCACGUCUAUCCAGUCUGUUGUUAUAGGAACAGCAACCACAACCCAAGAACCAAGCGCAUUUCACACCUACUGUGCCCAUGCCUACCGUCUCACCUGAGCUUACAGUGCUCCCCUCUAGGAAAUACCUUUUUGGUUUUGUUCUUUUGAGACAGGGUCUUGAUACAUAAUUCAGGCUGGCCUUGAACUCACUGUGCAGCUGGAUCUGAACCCAUGGCAGUCCUUCUGCCUCUGCCGCCCAAGUGCUGGGAUUACAGGUGUGGGCUACCACGCCCAGCUGGAAAUAUCUUCAGAUUACAUGAAGACUUCCUGAAUGAGUAUGGUCUCACUGAUCUCCCUUCUCCUUUAAAUUAUCUUACGGGUUCUAGUCAAUUUUGAUAAUGUCUCACAAGGCUGUUUUUUAAUCAUGUUAGCCUGAUCUUUCCAAAUAGAAUGCAUACUACUUUGAGAGCAGAGGUCAGGCAUCCCUCUCUCAGUAUGAGCACAAUGAUAGCACUAAGAACUAAAUGGACACAGCCUCCCAUUCUCUAUUGUGUUUUUUUCUUUUUUUCUUGUUUUGGUUUUUGGAGACAGGUUCAUGCUGUGUAGUUCAGGCUGGACUUUCAACUCAUGGCAAUCCUCUUGCCUCGGCCACCCAAAUGCUAGGAUGACGGAUGUAUAUCACCAUUGCUAGCCACUUUCCCUACUUACUGUAAAAUGGCCCCUUGGAUGUGCUAAAGGAAAAUACAGUCUCUCGAGUCCCUUUCAACCCUUCUACCAGUUGGACAAAGAAAAAGCAGACGUGCACCUCAGUGAACUGUCUCUGCAGGCCCCUCUUGGGUUCUUUACCUUGAGGUCCCGGCACUGGGACUGAAGCCAGUCAUUGAUGAAACCCUGAGGGUCUCUGGCGAAGCUCAGCAUGAACUCUCGCUGGGUCUUCAGCUGGUUGAUAGUUUCUAUUGUCUCAUGGAUCUAAAAGGAAAAGGGACACUUACACAAUUUUUUUGGUACCAGGGAUCAAACUCAUGACCUUGUGCUUGCCAGGCAAGUGCUUAUGCUACUGAGCUAAAUCCCUGGCCCACUUACACCAUUUUCAAGAAACACAAAGUGAAAUGACAGUGCCCAACACCUCUAGGUGCUUCUAGUCCUUUGCAUUCUUUCAGCAGAUGACAUGCAUUUGUUUCUGUCUAUCCCAUCUGAGGCAAUUUUAUUUUAAAUCUCUAUCUCAUACUCAAGUCCAGCACCACGGACAGAAUCAUGCGUACCUAAUCUCUAGUCUGGAAUCCACUGCCUAAAUUCCAAUUAACCUAAUGCUUUCUUGAUUUAAGACACCUUUAACUCAGUAUCUCCAAAACUAACUUCACUCCUUCUCUUUAGCAUCUAACUCCUCUUCUUAGUCUUUUUUUUUUUUUUUUGUCUUUUUUGAGACAGGGUCUCGCUAUGCAGUUCAGGCUGGCCUUGAGCUCACUUUGUAGCCCAGGCUGGUCUCAAACACUCAAGUAUUCUCCCACCUCAGCCUCCCAAGUGCUGGGAUUACAAGGGUGAGCCAACACGCCCGGCUCUCUUCUUAGUCUUAAUGCAUCCUAAUUUCCACCCAAACCAGAAACCAGGGAGUCACCACCUUGCUUUUUUCUCCUAUACCCUCAUGCAACCCUUGGCCAAAUCCCUUAAUUCCACUCUGACAUCUCUCAUUUCAGUCUAUUAUUUCCAUCCACACUGUCCAAAGAUCACAUGGUUUCCCAGGCUUUCUGCCCCCAAAACCUGCCCUCUUCCAGCUGUCUACCUUCCCCUAAGUGGGCAUUUUAAUUCAUACAGCUCCAGCACCUUCACUGGUGAGCUCUCAACAGGCUCCCUGUCUUUAUCUGCAAGAUAAAGUAUAAAACUAGCUUUCCCUGAACUGAAGCUCUAUUAGGCUCCUGCCUUCCAACUCAGCUUCCUAUCCCCAAGCAUCCUAUCCCUGGCACCUGCACUUUUUCUAGCACACCAAAUGCCUUUGAUUUCAAUAUGCUAGGUUUCCUUUCCUCUUUGGAGUUUUACAUAUGCUGCUCCCUGUUCUGGAAUAUCCUCCACCUCCCAUAAUUCUGACACUACUGUCCUUCCUCCCCUGUUGUUAACUCUCAUUUUGUCCUUCUAGGUUGACCUUGAGGCAUUUACCCUCCUGGGAAAAUCUCCUCAUUCCCCUUUGUAUGGGUGGAGCACUUUAGGCUUUGCCUGCUGGGUCUAUGCCUAAUGUUAAGGGUAAUGAUGAUGAAAGCAGUAACAGCAGGAGUUACUCUUUGCUAUUUUAUGUGCCAAACAAUUUCUCUUGCCUUUAAACACAUUGUGAUUUCAUAUUUAUAACACCCUUAUAAGAACAGAACAGUGGUACCUUGGUUCACGAACUUAACUUUUGCUAGGUUUUUUUUUUUUUUUCUUCAGUUUAUUUUGAGACAGGUCUCACUGUAGCUGGCCUUGAACUCACUUUGUAAUGCAGGCUGGCCUUCAACAGGCAGCAAUCCUCCUGCCUCAGCCUUUUGAGUGCUGGGAUUACAGGCAUGCGCCACCACAUCCAGCUAUAAACAAUUUAGUUUAUAGUUUAUAGUUAUUUUGGAAAAGAGGGCCAUGUUUCUGUUUAUGUGGAAAGACAGUCACAGUUGUGUUUGUCACCAAAUA